GUACAAUCCGCAAGUGCAAGUGAGAAGCAAGGUAGAUCAACUUAAGAAGCUCUAUCAAAGUGUGUUUAAGGUUCCUUGUCGUCGUGAUAUCGUCGUCAGCCUAGCUAACCAUCGCUUGCAUCAAUGGAGGGGAUGGAGGGGUACACGAUG